rnacentral:rRNA from 1 species
UCCGUAGGGGGCAAGCGUUGUCCGGAUUUCUUGGGCGUAAAGAGCGUGUAGGCGGCUUUACAGGUCCGUUGUGAAAACUCGAGGCUCAACCUCGAGACGCCGGUGGAAACCGUAAGGCUAGAGUCCGGAAGAGGAGAGUGGAAUUCCUGGUGUAGCGGUGAAAUGCGCAGAUAUCAGGAAGAACACCCGUGGCGAAGGCGGCUCUCUGGGACGGUACUGACGCUGAGACGCGAAAGCGUGGGGAGCGAACAGG